UACGUAGGCAGCGAGCGUUGUUCGGAGUUACUGGGCGUAAAGCGUGCGUAGGCGGUGGUCCAAGUCUGGUGUGAAAUCUCCCGGCUUAACUGGGAGGGUGCGCCGGAAACUGGGCCGCUGGAGUACGGGAGAGGCAAGCGGAAUUCCAGGUGUAGCGGUGAAAUGCGUAGAUAUCGAGAGGAACACCUGCGGCGAAGGCGGGUUGCUGGGCUGACACUGACGCUGAUGCGCGAAAGCUAGGGGAGCGAACGGG
rnacentral:rRNA from 1 species